rnacentral:rRNA from 1 species
GACGAACGCUGGCGGCGUGCCUAAUACAUGCAAGUUGAGCGCAUAAAGUUGGUACUUGUACCGACUGGAUGAGCGGCGAACGGGUGAGUAACGCGUGGGUAACCGGCCGUGGAGCGUGAGAUAACAUUUGGAAACGAAUUCUAAUACCGCAUAAAAACUUUAAACACAGGGUUUAAGGUUGAAAGAUGCAAUUGCAUCACCCAAAUCUGAUCCCGCGUUUUAUUAGCUAGUUGGUGAGGUAAAGGCUCACCAAGGCGAAGAUACAUAGACUACCCGAAAGGGUGAUCGAGUAACAUGGGAAUGAGACACGGCCCAAGAUCCUACGGGAGGCAGCAGGUGGGAAACUUCGGACAAGGACGAAAGUCUGACCGAGGAAAGCCGGGUGGGGUAAGGAGGUUCUUGGAUCGUAAAAGUCCGUUAGUAGAGAAGAACGUUGAUGAGGGUGGAAAGCUCAUGAAGUGACGGUAACUACACAGAAAGGGACGGCUAACUACGUG